rnacentral:tRNA from 1 species
GGAGAGGUGGCAGAGUGGUCGAUUGCGGCGGUCUUGAAAACCGCUUUGGGUUAACGCCCAACGGGGGUUCGAAUCCCUCCCUCUCCGCCA